CAAGUCGAGGGGCAGCAUGGUCUUAGCUUGCUAAGGCCGAUGGCGACCGGCGCACGGGUGAGUAACGCGUAUCCAACCUGCCUUACACUCUUGGACAGCCUUCUGAAAGGGAGAUUAAUACAAGAUGUUAUCAUGAGUAAGCAUUUUCGCAUGAUUAAAGGUUUACCGGUGUAAGAUGGGGAUGCGUUCCAUUAGAUAGUAGGCGGGGUAACGGCCCACCUAGUCUUCGAUGGAUAGGGGUUCUGAGAGGAAGGUCCCCCACAUUGGAACUGAGACACGGUCCAAACUCCUACGGGAGGCAGCAGUGAGGAAUAUUGGUCAAUGGACGAGAGUCUGAACCAGCCAAGUAGCGUGAAGGAUGAAGGUUCUAUGGAUUGUAAACUUCUUUUAUACGGGAAUAAACGAAUCCACGUGUGGAUUUUUGCAUGUACCGUAUGAAUAAGGAUCGGCUAACUCCGUGCCAGCAGCCGCGGUAAUACGGAGGAUCCGAGCGUUAUCCGGAUUUAUUGGGUUUAAAGGGAGCGUAGAUGGGUUGUUAAGUCAGUUGUGAAAGUUUGCGGCUCAACCGUAAAAUUGCAAUUGAUACUGGCAGUCUUGAGUACAGUUGAGGUAGGCGGAAUUCGUGGUGUAGCGGUGAAAUGCUUAGAUAUCACGAAGAACUCCGAUUGCGAAGGCAGCUUACUAACCUGUAACUGACAUUGAUGCUCGAAAGUGUGGGUAUCAAACAGGAUUAGAUACCCUGGUAGUCCACACGGUAAACGAUGAAUACUCGCUGUAGGCGAUAUACAGUCUGCGGCCAAGCGAAAGCAUUAAGUAUUCCACCUGGGGAGUACGCCGGCAACGGUGAAACUCAAAGGAAUUGACGGGGGCCCGCACAAGCGGAGGAACAUGUGGUUUAAUUCGAUGAUACGCGAGGAACCUUACCCGGGCUUAAAUUGCAACCGAAUAUGGCGGAAACGCUAUAGCUAGCAAUAGCGGUUGUGAAGGUGCUGCAUGGUUGUCGUCAGCUCGUGCCGUGAGGUGUCGGCUUAAGUGCCAUAACGAGCGCAACCCUUGCCGAUAGUUACUAACAGGUCAUGCUGAGGACUCUGUCGGGACUGCCAUCGUAAGAUGUGAGGAAGGUGGGGAUGACGUCAAAUCAGCACGGCCCUUACGUCCGGGGCUACACACGUGUUACAAUGGGGGGUACAGAGGGCUGCUACCACGCAAGUGGAUGCCAAUCCCAAAAACCUCUCUCAGUUCGGAUUGAAGUCUGCAACCCGACUUCAUGAAGCUGGAUUCGCUAGUAAUCGCGCAUCAGCCACGGCGCGGUGAAUACGUUCCCGGGCCUUGUACACACCGCCCGUCAAGCCAUGGGAGCCGGGGGUACCUGAAGUGCGUAACCGCA
rnacentral:rRNA from 1 species